rnacentral:rRNA from 1 species
UACGUAGGAGGCAAGCGUUGUCCGGAAUUAUUGGGCGUAAAGAGCGCGUAGGCGGUCCGAUAAGUCGGCUGUGAAAGUCAAGGGCUCAACCUUGAAAGCCGGCCGAUACUGUCGGACUAGAGUCCGGAAGAGGCGAGUGGAAUUCCCGGUGUAGCGGUGAAAUGCGCAGAUAUCGGGGAAGAACACCCGUGGCGAAGGCGGCUCUCUGGGACGGUACUGGACGCUGAGACGCGAAAGCGUGGGGGAGCGAACAGG